UCUGCAGAGAAAACGAUUGGCAUUUGACGUCUUGCAAGAAGAGAGAAGAAAAACUAAGUUCCCGAAGCGGGCCACGAUUGGUCGCACUUCGUGUGACGUCCAGUGGCCAAUGCCAAAGGGAUUCCAAGGGCAGUCUCACGGGAAAGAGGCGGGGUAGCCAGACGUCCGUUACCGUAUAUAUGGCACUGGUCGCUUCUGAAAUUGUCUUAGUUUUCUUUUUUAAACCGGCUUCUUUGUUUCCUAAUCCUCCUUCAAGAUGAUGAUGAUUUUAGGCCAGACGCUUUAAUUCCUUGUAACCCCAUGGCCUCACACAUAGUAGGCGCUCAAGUAUUCCCUGAAAUAAUACUCCGAAUUAACCUGCUCAUGUAUGAAAAUACCAAAUUCGCCAGUGAAACAGCCAGAUAUUUGUUAGACAUGAACGAUGUGUCAGGUACUGGAUUUAAUAUGAAAACUCUUGCUCCUCAGAACAGCGUUGUGAGGUAUAUGUUACGAGAAUGCUUACAUUCCAGUGAGGAGACUGAGGCACAGGGCAAUUUGCUGAAGAUCAGAGAAUGAGGAAGUAGCAAGACUGGCACUCAAGUACGUUCUCUCUGCAGUUAUAACUACUAUGAAUAACAGUUUUAAACAAAUUCUUGUAGGUUUCAGGGAUGAUCUAAUCCCUGAUAAUUCAUCAAGGAAUCUCUUCUACUUCUCUUUCAUCUUUUGUGGAAGAGAUAUACAUCCCAAAUUUUAGACACAUUUAAAACUUGCAGGCAUGUUCUAAGUGCUUUCUGUUUGCAAACUAUGAUGUAUCAUCUUCUUGGAAGUUAUUGCAGUAAAACAUGUGAACAGCUCUGAGGAUGCUUAAAGAUAAUCCUUGAAGAGGAAUUGGAAAAUAAGUGAGAUCCUAAAUCAAAAAGAUAAGUGUCCUUACCGGUGAAAUGGAUAUUGUAAGGCCACCCCACAAUGCUGUGAGGUUGGAGCUAGAGUAUGUAAAGUGCCUCUUCUGUUGCCACUACCUGGAGAUUUGUUGUAGCCUAUUGACUGUCAUCAAAGAAAACCAAUCACCUAACCUAAAGCCUCAAGCUUUUUAUCAGCAAAAAUGUUUUAUGGCAGAAGGGCCACCUCGAAGAGAUUUCUGCCACAUCACAGGGCAAGAAAGCCACAGACAUUCCCCGACCCUCAAGCUAAGCAGUCGCCUUGAUUGGAAGGACCAGGCCAGUCAGCACCAAAACCAUGAGACUGAAAAUCAAACUCCAGAGUGGACAAAGAACAUCUCCAAAUCCCUGUGGGGACCAGUGAUGCUGGGACCUGACAUCUGCUUCCUAUCUUGGCACUUUCAGUAAUUCCCUGACCUGAUUAACACAGCCCUGGGGAAGAGAGAGGGCCUCCGUUGAUAAGAUUAUUGUCACUGCAGCUGAGUGGGGGCUUGAAAAAAAAAACUCAGUUACAGAAAAAAUUCUGUUUGUUACACAUUUGAGUUUGUAGACCGAAGCUCAUUCCUGCUAUGCUGUUAUCUGUGAGUAUUCUAUCAUAACCAACAGUUUUUAUGUUCAAUGUUAUAAGAUUUUCCUUUACUCAAAGAUCAUGAGGUUUCAUUUUUUUAACAUUUUUAUUUGGUGCCUAUAAUUGACAAAAACAAACUGAGGGACACCAACAAACACUGCCAUGCCUGGCAUCAUCACCUCACUAGGUUAUGUGUUCCUGUAGGACAGGGUCCAUAUAUUUCCUUUAAAUCUCCCACUUGUUCAGUAGCACACAUGAUGCUAGUACUUAGUAGGUACUCAGUAAAUAUUGAAUGAAAGAGUCAUGAACAAAAUAUGCACUGAAAACUUUGGGUGUUGAUUCUUCUUCUUGGUAGUGCAAUAUUUAAGAUACUUAGGUUACAAAUACUUUAAUAUUAGUUGUCAAAAAUAUAUUUGAGCAUAAAUAAAAUUAAGGAGCUUCAAAGUGAAUAUAAUAGUUUAAAGAGUACUUCACAUUUUUGACCUGUGUUUUUAGGUGUUUAGAACCACACUUCUGCUUUGAGUUUUAAAUAACUACUUUCAGUACCACAAUAAUAAUUGAUGGUUUUAUUUUUUAUUGUCAUUUCUUAUUCCUUUUACAAUCAGAUCGUAAUAAAGAUGCAUUCGCAGACUUCAACUACUCAUCCCAUAGGUCCUUCAUGAGCUCCUUGGAACAGUGUUUUGUCUUUGGGUUCUCAGUACGCAGCACAGUGCCUGGAACCCAGUAUAAGACCAAUAGCCUGUGCCGAAUGAGUAUGAGCAAACCUUUCCUGAUUCUCAGGCACUUCCUAACUGAGCUCUCCUGUGACCAAACUUUUAGAACACAUUAUUUUUUGCCUUAGGAUAUGAUUAGGUAGGUCUCUCUUCCACAUAUUCCACUAAAUCAGGGGUUCUCAAAAUUGAGUAUUAGAGUCACCUGGAGAGCUUAUGAAAACCUCUUUGCUAGGCCCCAACCCACAGUUUCUGAUUUAGAAAGUUUGGAGUAGGCACAUGGGAAUUUGCAUUUGCAGGUUCUGAGGUGAUGUUGAUACUGUUGAUUAUCGACCAUACUUUAUAAACCACUGUACAAAAUUAAGUUGCUUGAGGGAGGGGGCUAUGUCUUCCUCAUUUCAGGAUUCCUGGCAGCCUCUGCCAUAGUACCUGGGACACGGGAGUAGCUCAAGAAAUAGUUGACUUGAGCAAUAGUUCAAAAAGUUUAUUUUACUGAAUUUAAGAUUACAGGUAUAUGAAUAUAUGUACAUAUAUCCUUAAAUGAGCUAAUACACACAAAAGCUCUUAAAACAUGGAAUGUAGACCUAAGUUUGCUUAAAAAAAUAAAUGUAACCUUUCUCUGCUUAUCACCAUGAUACCCAAACAUUCAAGAGGUGUACUCUUAACAAGACUGCUUAUAAAUGAGAGUAGCAGAAUGUUAGCACUAAAAGCCUCUUUUAAAGAUAACCUAGUUUAUUAAUAUUGAGCAUCAGGAUUUUUCAAAAUUGGUUACGAGCUUCCUACAUUCAGAUAGACACAGCAAGAACAUGGUAGACACACUUACCCUCGGGAGCUUAUAGCCCGUGAGGAAGUGAGGAAUCCAGAAGUAUGAGCAGGUGUAAGUAGAGGAUGUUAAGUUUGGGGAAUGGCUAACAACUAUGAAAGGAUUCACUUGUAUCUAUUCAACUCCUAAUCAUCAUUCAUCUGUUAGAACUCAUCUUUUGCACAUUCUAUAAAAUACUCUUAGCAUGUUCAGUAUGGGCCCAAGGGAUAUUUACUAAAUAUUCAUAAAUGAAAUUGAAAAUUCUUUUGAAAAACACAUGACUUUGAUAUUUCUUCUUCACUGUGACCAAUCAAAACAACAUGAGGAAUUUAGAAUUAGCCUGAUGUAAAUACAAGUGUGUGUCAUCCAAGUGUGUGUCAUAUGUGAAAUAGACUUCUCAGAAAGUUCCAGGAAGAACAAAUGUUUCUGGGUGGAAUCCUGUGCACAUGUUGAACUUACCAUUUAAUAAUCCUAUGGGAAAUCCUUUUGCAAAGGAAAUAAUUAUUUCUGAAUUAUCUUUUUUCCCCUCUUUUUUGUUAAUACACAUUUCGACUUCUAGAUUGUUUAAAGAAGAACACAAAUGCUCC